AAUGAGCCUGCGAGUUGUGGUGUCUGGCAAGGUUAAGCAAACGCGAAGCCGUAGCGAAAGCGAGUCUGAAUAGGGCGCUUAGUCAGAUGCUGCAGACCCGAAACGAAGUGAUCUAUCCAUGAGCAAGUUGAAGCUAGUGUAAGAACUAGUGGAGGACUGAACCCAUAGGCGUUGAAAAGCCCCGGGAUGACUUGUGGAUAGGGGUGAAAGGCCAAUCAAACUUCGUGAUAGCUGGUUCUCUCCGAAAUAUAUUUAGGUAUAGCGUUGUGUCGUAAUAUAAGGGGGUAGAGCACUGAAUGGGCUAGGGCAUACACCAAUGUACCAAACCCUAUCAAACUCCGAAUACCUUAUAUGUAAUCACAGCAGUCAGGCGGCGAGUGAUAAAAUCCGUCGUCAAGAGGGAAACAACCCAGACUACCAGCUAAGGUCCCUAAAUCUUACUUAAGUGGAAAACGAUGUGAAGUUACUUAAACAACCAGGAGGUUGGCUUAGAAGCAGCCAUCCUUUAAAGAAAGCGUAAUAGCUCACUGGUCUAGUGAUUUUGCGCGGAAAAUAUAACGGGGCUAAAGUAAGUACCGAAGCUGUAGACUUGCGCACAACUUAGAUUAUUUAAGUUUAGAAUAUGAGAAACUAAGUUAUAUUUUUACUGAUUUUUAUAGAGUAAAGAUAGAAAUAAAACUUAGUAAAAUCAGUAAAAAUAUUCUUAGGCUAAAGUUAAGUAGUUUAAGUUGUGUGCAAGUGGUAGGAGAGCGUUCUAUUUGCGUCGAAGGUAUACCGGUAAGGAGUGCUGGAGCGAAUAGAAGUGAGCAUGCAGGCAUGAGUAGCGAUAAUUAAUGUGAGAAUCAUUAACGCCGUAAACCCAAGGUUUCCUACGCGAUGCUCGUCAUCGUAGGGUUAGUCGGGUCCUAAGUCGAGUCCGAAAGGGGUAGACGAUGGCAAAUUGGUUAAUAUUCCAAUACCAACAUUAGUGUGCGAUGGAAGGACGCUUAGGGCUAAGGGGGCUAGCGGAUGGAAGUGCUAGUCUAAGGUCGUAGGAGGUUAUACAGGCAAAUCCGUAUAACAAUACUCCGAGAACUGAAAGGCUUUUUGAAGUCUUCGGAUGGAUAGAAGAACCCCUGAUGCCGUCGAGCCAAGAAAAGUUUCUAAGUUUAGCUAAUGUUGCCCGUACCGUAAACCGACACAGGUGGGUGGGAUGAGUAUUCUAAGGCGCGUGGAAGAACUCUCUUUAAGGAACUCUGCAAAAUAGCACCGUAUCUUCGGUAUAAGGUGUGGUUAGCUUUGUAUUAGGAUUUACUCCGAAAGCAAGGAAACUUACAACAAAGAGUCCCUCCCGACUGUUUACCAAAAACACAGCACUCUGCUAACUCGUAAGAGGAUGUAUAGGGUGUGACGCCUGCCCGGUGCUCGAAGGUUAAUUGAUGGGGUUAGCAUUAGCGAAGCUCUUGAUCGAAGCCCGAGUAAACGGCGGCCGUAACUAUAACGGUCCUAAGGUAGCGAAAUUCCUUGUCGGUUAAAUACCGACCUGCAUGAAUGGCGUAACGAGAUGGGAGCUGUCUCAAAGAGGGAUCCAGUGAAAUUGUAGUGGAGGUGAAAAUUCCUCCUACCCGCGGCAAGACGGAAAGACCCCGUGGACCUUUACUACAGCUUGACACUGCUACUUGGAUAAGAAUGUGCAGGAUAGGUGGGAGGCUUUGAGUAUAUGACGCCAGUUGUAUAUGAGCCAUUGUUGAGAUACCACUCUUUCUUAUUUGGGUAGCUAACCAGCUUGAGUUAUCCUCAAGUGGGACAAUGUCUGGUGGGUAGUUUGACUGGGGCGGUCGCCUCCCAAAUAAUAACGGAGGCUUACAAAGGUUGGCUCAGAACGGUUGGAAAUCGUUCGUAGAGUAUAAAGGUAUAAGCCAGCUUAACUGCAAGACAUACAAGUCAAGCAGAGACGAAAGUCGGUCUUAGUGAUCCGGUGGUUCUGUGUGGAAGGGCCAUCGCUCAAAGGAUAAAAGGUACCCCGGGGAUAACAGGCUGAUCUCCCCCAAGAGCUCACAUCGACGGGGAGGUUUGGCACCUCGAUGUCGGCUCAUCGCAUCCUGGGGCUGGAGCAGGUCCCAAGGGUAUGGCUGUUCGCCAUUUAAAGCGGUACGCGAGCUGGGUUCAGAACGUCGUGAGACAGUUCGGUCCCUAUCUGCCGUGGGCGUAAGAAGAUUGAAGAGAUUUGACCCUAGUACGAGAGGACCGGGUUGAACAAACCACUGGUGUAGCUGUUGUUCUGCCAAGAGCAUCGCAGCGUAGCUAAGUUUGGAAAGGAUAAACGCUGAAAGCAUCUAAGCGUGAAGCCAACUCUAAGAUGAAUCUUCUCUAAGCUCUCUAGAAGACUACUAGUUUGAUAGGCUGGGUGUGUAAUGGAUGAAAGUCCUUUAGCUGACCAGUACUAAUAGAGCGUUUGGCUUAUCUUU
rnacentral:rRNA from 1 species